rnacentral:lncRNA from 1 species
GAAAGGGAAUUGCCAACUGCAUCAUUUGAAUCGAAAGCGGGUAAGGACUUUAUCGUGACGCAGGAUGGACGACAUGCGAGUGGCCUUUUGCCCGUUUUGUGGCAAACAUUUGAUCAGAUUGACGCCGUUUUGUGGUUUCUGUGGUCGGUCUUUGGCGUUUUUAAAUGCCGCAGCCCAGACCGAAGAACCAGCCGUACCGGGGACGUCAGGGGACGGACCAGAUCUGCUUCAGCAUAACUACACAGACCUGUAUGCAUCAGAUGUUGAGGACAUGGAUGAGGAUCUGGUUGCGGUCGAUGUUGGGAAUUUGCAACACACUGCAGUGGAGGAGAUGAGCAUUACACUGCCCGACAUUGUGGCAAACUUGUCACUACCCAUUGAUCACAAAAGGGUCAGCAGGUUCAACAUCUCCAGGGCUAAUGUUUGGGAUGGAGCGGUCAGAGGUUUCAAGCGUACAACAUAUACAGAAAAAUGUGACAUGCUGGUAAGAUUUACUGAUGAUGCUGGUGUUUUUGAGGAGGGAAUUGACACAGGUGGUCCCAGAAGAGAAUUCUUCACUCUAUUACAUCGCUUAUGA